rnacentral:rRNA from 1 species
CAAACCGUCUUCUUUUCAGAUACGAGGUCACGUCCCUAAGAGACAAAAUUUUCCCGACGUGGGCAAGUACAUGUCAUCUACCACCGAAGAUUAAACCGAACUACUUGACCACUCAAAAGACUUCGUGGAGUAUGACACAUCCUUCAUACUGUACUUUAAUUAAACAAUAAACGUGAAAACCUCAGAUGAAACACCACAGAGGUACAGACUCUUUUAGUAAAGGAUAAAAAGGUUCAUCGCACAAGUUCACAACUGGAUCACCAUUUCGACGACGGAACACUGGUACUCCAGUGCCCAAGUUCAGGACUUUUGUCGGAGAACGUCUUUACAUCCCUUUCCGACGCAUGUUAUCUGGGUUUCACCAGCCUGGGAAGGGGUCUGGGGCGCGUUCGCCCUCGAUGUACGUGACCCCGACGGGGGUCGCACAAGUUCACAAGAAUGUGUUCAAAACUAGUCCACCGCAACCUUAACUGUUCGACGUUGAAAACCGUGUCUCGUCGACAAACAAAUAGAGGGGUAAAUACUACCGACUACUAUGGUUCAAGUAGGAAAAAAAAGAGGAGAACUCGUCGAGUAACAACACAAAACCAAGGCUUGUACUAUAGGUCACGGAGUUCAGGCAUGUAGUUAGUCACUAACUAGGGUUGCCACAUGAGUUUAGGAGAACCUUGAAACUUUUACGGUGGUCGCCAAAGUAUACGGCGAAAUGACCACACCUUACGACCGUCGGGCUGCUCUUGUCCCAAGAGAGAGACGCGGAGCCGUUGGAACCUGAACUUCCGAGUAAAGGAUUUCCAGAAGUUAUAACAAGUUCGUACUGCCCGGACCUGGACACCUUAUUGUUAAAAAGUCCUGGCUAGGGAAGACUGUAAAAUGUCGUCCACGUCUUCGACUGUAUAGACCUAGAAAGCAUGUUAUCGAAAAGCCCUAGUUAGGGUCUCUCGUACAGUUUAUACUGUAUAGACUUACAGGAGUUGGAACUCGUAUUGGUUGAGUCGCCAGUUUAAGGUGGCGUUAAGCUAAACGAAUGAGCCAAUUGAUGCAAGUUACAACGCCUCUUGAACAAUAGUCCCGGACAAGGAUGAAGCGAUGUCUUCAAAAGCCGAAGCUUGAAACGACCAUUGGUUCCCGAAACACUACGUGGAAAUCUACUCACGAGGCGAAGCGGCCGGAAGUGGCAAUCUGGCCAUGCUUAGUCCGACGUGUCCGAGUUGCUGACCAGCUUGUAGCCUCGUCGGCAACCUAAGUAGCACACCAAGCACCACCGGAAGAUGAAGGGCGUCACUAAGCAGACGAGACUCUCCGGAUGCACCAAACGUAUACUAAGUGAACAAGACUUAGACACAGACCGUAUGGAAACGCCUCCGGUUUACUCGUGAAGUUUGUCAUUAAAAUCAAACAAGCGACGUCAUUGUUAAUAGAAUUAAGUGCACUACAUAUGGACCGUUGAACGGUCACGGCCACUAAACCAAACGAACAUUUACCAUUUCGUAUAAAGUAAAGAAGGUCUUUCUAAGUUCCGCUAUUAGAUAUAUGAGCCUGUCUCUUUCGUCGAGUGAGUUUUUCCUGAUGAAGGUUGUCGUGGAAGUCAACAGUGGGACAGCUCAGGACAUGAAAAUGAAACGAACAUUACGUUUACCAGAUUCUGUAAGAGGAUUUCUUUUCUUACUAAGUUCCUUAGUGGUCAAUACUUGAACAUUACCAAAUACAUGGGAAAAGCUACAAGGUUUUCUUUCUGUUUCUUGCUAUAAUAACAAGUGAGUAGGCUUAGUAAAAGGACCCCAUUUUAUUUCAGGGUAGUGU